rnacentral:rRNA from 1 species
GACGAACGCUGGCGGCGUGCUUAACACAUGCAAGUCGAACGGAAAGGCCCUGCCUUUGUGGGGUGCUCGAGUGGCGAACGGGUGAGUAACACGUGAGUACCCUGUCCCUGACUUUGGGAUAACUUAAGGAAACUGGGGCUAAUACCGGAUAGGAGUUCCCGCUGCAUGGUGGGGGUUGGAAAGUUUCGGCGGUUGGGGAUGGACUCGCGUCGUAUCAGCUUGUUGGUGGGGUAGUGGCUUACCAAGGCUUUGAACGGUAGCCGGCCUGGUAGGGUGAGCGGCCACAUUGGGACUGAGAUGCGACCCAGACUCCUACGGGAGGCAGCAGUGGGGAAUAGUGCAUAAUGGGCGGAAGCCUGAUGCAGCAACGCCGCGUGCGGGAUGACGGCAUUCGGGUUGUAAACCGCUGUCGCCUUUGACGAAGCGUUAGUGACGGUAAUGGGUAAAGAAGCACCGGCUAACUACGUG